rnacentral:rRNA from 1 species
GAUGAACGCUGGCGGCGUGCCUAACACAUGCAAGUCGAACGGAGUCCAGCCUUUAAGGCCUUCGGGUCAAAGAGGGGACGCCUGAGUGGCGGACGGGUGAGUAACACGUGUGCAACCUGGCUCAUAGAGGGGGAUAACAGAGAGAAAUUUCUGCUAAUACCGCAUAAGCACACCCUGCCGCAUGGCAGGGGGUGAAAAGAGAAUCGCUAUGAGAUGGACCCGCGUCUGAUUAGCCAGUUGGCAGGGUAAGAGCCUACCAAAGCGACGAUCAGUAGCCGAUAUGAGAGGAUGAACGGCCACAUUGGGACUGAGACACGGCCCAAACUCCUACGGGAGGCAGCAGUGGGGGAUAUUGCACAAUGGGGGGAACCCUGAUGCAGCGACGCCGCGUGAGUGAAGAAGUAUUUCGGUAUGUAAAGCUCUAUCAGCAGGGAAGAUAAUGACAGUACCUGAAUAAGAAGCCCCGGCUAACUACGUG